UCCUCGGGAGGCAGCAGUGGGGGAUAUUGCACAAUGGGGGAAACCCUGAUGCAGCGACGCCGCGUGGGUGAAGAAGCGCCUCGGCGCGUAAAGCCCUGUCAGCAGGGAAGAAAACGACGGUACCUGAAGAAGAAGCCCCGGCUAACUACGUGCCAGCAGCCGCGGUAAUACGUAUGGAGCAAGCGUUAUCCGGAAUUACUGGGUGUAAAGGGAGCGUAGGCGGCAAGGCAAGUCUGAUGUGAAAACCCAGGGCCCAACCCUGGGACUGCAUUGGAAACUGUAUUGCUUGAGUACCGGAGAGGCAG
rnacentral:rRNA from 1 species